rnacentral:lncRNA from 1 species
AUACAACAAAUCAAUACCAUGUAACAAACACAAUAUAUCACAUGCUCAUAAUGGAUUAAUUCCUUCUUUUAUUAAAAUAUAGCAUCAAUUUCUUUACAAUUGAUGGUUAUUGCAAAAGUAUUCAUUUGGCAUAAGAGGAAAACUAUUUAACAAAAUCAUGGGUUAUAGAUGAUGGUGUAGUCUUGACUAUCAUGGUGAUACUUAUUGUAACAUUCUUCUGGUGUAAGUCCAAAGUACUUGUCGCUAUCAGGUGAUAUUGCAGAAUUAGAUUCUUGGCCGGUACUAGUGGUUGAAACAUGUGAGUUUUCAGUGCUUGCAACCAAAAGCAAAGCCAAGAUAAUGAAACUGAGACUCUUCGACAUGUUAUAAUUUCUAAACUUAAUUGUAAACAACUUAAUUAAAAUUAAAAGGAGGU